UUAGCUUUGUGAGAGAGGUUCUAGAGAGAGAGAGAGAGGGAGAGAAAUGAGAGGAGGGGUGUAAUUAGCUGUGGGAGAGAGAGAGAAGGUGUGUUAAGGUGUCACGCCCCGGGGUCCCUUUUAGUUUAAAACAUAGCGGAAAAGCGUCUGAAUUUUUUUUUUUUUUUUUGAAAAGCCUGACCCCAGAGUAUGCCAGAUCCGCCACAAACACAGGGAAUCCACUGUUCACAUGGACAGAGUCUCCCCUAUAUUUGCACGGCGUCACACAAGUACAAGAAGUAACCCAGGUACAACCACAACCAAAUGAACAUACAAAUAACUAACGAUUAUAUAUUCAUGCACCAUUCACAUCACAGGUUCACAUUUAUAUAUUCAAUAUUUAAACAUAAAUUCACAUCUAUCAGUUAAAAUAUUUCCAACCACAGAAACAGGUUUUGAAAUACUAAGAUGCAAAAUCCACAUAAAACCUUUUUGAAAACUAUUUCCUACACGGAAAUCUUUAUUCUUUAAAAACGCUACCACGAGGGGUAGAAAACCUUUUAUUUUACAAAAUCCAGAAAUCUGUUUAUUAUAUUCACGAAAAUUCAUAUAUUCAAAUGUAAUAAAAAUACUGAACCAUAUAAGUCAACUAAGCUCUAUAUCAACAUAAAUAAUAAGGGUAAAAGCUAAACCGAAUAACCUGGGUCGGAAGAUCUAACGACCGCUACGUACAUGCCUCACGUCUCGUCUCAAUACCCAUCGCCUGCGAUACCUGAAGAAU
rnacentral:lncRNA from 1 species